AUUGUUAUCAUUAUGUUUGUCUGGAAAUCAGCAGAAUGGGGGUGUUGAUUUCCAGCGGGUGGGUUUUCCUUUGUCCCUUUUUUUUUUUUUUUUUUUUGUUCUAACCCAGAUUUUCAUGUUUAACAGGCCCACAGCUGAUCCAUCCCCCAGUACACAAUUGAGACAGAGGAGGUUAAAGCACUCUGAACGCAUGGGACCAUAUUGCAGGUCAGAGAAGAAAGCGAGAAUGAAGUUCUGUUUAAAGAAGGUGAUAACAAACGUCCAAGGUAUUUGUGCCUGUGGCAGGGUCUUGGUCUUUUGUUCUCCUCCUGCUCCUCCUCUGCAUCACAAGACGACCCGCAUGCACACGAGCUUCAGACAGAUGCGCAGAGGCUGUAAUGAAGAGCUCUUGAACUCCCAGUCAGAGAAGCUGUGA
rnacentral:lncRNA from 1 species